AAGCCGGAAAACGGAUUUAAACCAGCGUUUGAGCUGUUACCUCGGUUUGUCAGUACUGUGAGAAAACUGAAUCCCUGAAGAAGCCUGGAUGUUAAAACAGACUGUGGAGCUGCUUUUUUGUUGAACACGAGUGAAGCUGGAAGCUGAAUACACCGCGAAGGUCGAUUUGUUCAGCUGCUGCAGCUCGAUGGAGACACCGAUAUCACCUUACAGACCAACAGGUGUCACCACUUCACCCACAACGCCGUCCACAGUCGCCAAGACAUUGUCCAUGACUCGCAGAGACGUGCUAAAGUCGGUAGUGACGGAGUUCACUGAUUUGACAGCAUCGUCCGUGAUCAGAGAGAUAUUGUCGAUGAUCACAGAGACGUAGUCCACGAUCACAGAGAGUCUUCGUACAAUGAAGAAGUUGUUUGAGACCAGGACAGAGGCCUCCAGGAGGAGGAGAAGACUGCAUCAUCUAAGAGGACAACAAGAGUAGUAAAAUGUUCUUGAAGAUGUCUAGAGAUGUAUAAGAUUUUAAUAAGCAUGUCCUCAUAUGUGAUCAUCACUACAUGAAAUGUGGGGUGAGAGAAUAAAAAGAUGUGUCUCCAAGUGGUCAAAUAUCUGUCAUUAUCUUUACUGUGGUUUGUUAAAUGUUGUCUGUAACAGAAUCAAUAAAGUUGUUGCUUAA